rnacentral:tRNA from 1 species
GCCUGGGUGGCUCAGUUGGUUAAGCAUCUGCCUUCGGCUCAGAUCAUGAUUCCAGGGUUCUGGGUUCGAGUCCCACAUCAGGCU